CAGAGGGGAGGACGUGGGGCUAUCAGUCCAACUCCUCAGUUAAUAGCCAGGGAAACAGAAGCCCAGGGAGAUAAAGACGGUGGCAGAGGAGGAAUUCUUUCUUAGCAGAUCUUCCAUUCCUAAUCCAGGAUCAUUUCCAGGGCUCCCAGGUUCUCAAGAUGCUUGAAUCCUGGGACAAACACAGAGGAAGGAGCUCCUAAGGAUGGGGGCAGUGGUGAGGAAACAGGCCACUGAGACAGUGAUGGUGUUUGUAGGCAAAGAAGCUACUUGUAUUUGCCAACCACACCAGGAGGCCAGGAAAUUACCAGUGAACAAAAUCUGAGCAGGAGCGGAAUGAAGCCUGGGCUUAAAGAAAAGUCAGGAAGGCAGAGGCUGUGUUCAUGGGGCAAAGGUUGGCUCAGCAGCAGGGCCAGGGCCUUUGCGUUCCUGCUUGGGAUUUGAAGUCAGAAAGAGGAGGGGAAGGGGGCCUGUCCGUUCAGCCGGCACCUCUGCUCACCUGGAGUCCCACGGACCAGACUGAGGGGAGGCACUGAGGGUCUGCGCUGCUGCUCUCUAUGUGACCGCUGAGUCAUGGAGGAAAAAGGGACCUGAGGCAUGUGCCCUGCCCCCCGGGAACACUUGGCUAAAAACCACCUCACUGUGAUUUGCUGCACAGACUCGCCGCAGGGCACAGCACCCUCCAGAAAAACAGGUCACUGAAAAUAAUAUCAGGGGAGGAAGUCAAGAAGGCUGCUGUAUUCAUUCUGCUUUAAUGAGUAGAGCUCUCCUCUCUCUUUCUCUCGGCUCCCUUGCUUUGGAGGGAGCCAGCUACACAGAAAUUCAGGCAGUCUAUGAAGAGGCUCACCUUGUGCCAGUGACCACUUGAGUGAGCCAUCUUAGAAGUGGCUCUUCCAGCCCCAGACAAACUUUCAGAAACUAAAGCCCUGCUUCACAUCCUGACUAGAACCUUAUGAGAAACUCUGAGCCCAACCCACCCAGUUAAACCACUCCUGAAUCCCUGCCCCACAAAAACUGUGAGAGAACUCUUACCAAAACAGGAAUAGAAGACAUAGGGUGCAACCAUUUCUCCAGGCUGAAACAGAGCCCCUGAGGAAGGAGCAAAUCUGAAGUUCCCCUUAUUGUUGGAGAGAGCAUUGCAUGGCUCAUGACUCACUAGGUGGUGGAUAAGCUCAUUGAGGAGAAAUCUUUUGCCACAUUUGGAGAAAGGAUUGAAGAGAAAUGAGAGCCUGGAUGUGAAGAAAACAUUAGGAAGCUGCAGCAGUAACCUAUGUGAGAAAUUAAGAGAACCUAAAUCAGAUCCGUUGGCCA
rnacentral:lncRNA from 10 species